CCCUUAGAUGUUCGGGGCCGCACGCGCGCUACACUGAAGGACUCAGCGUGUCUCUCCCCCUAUCCCGAAAGGGAUGGGCAACCCGUUGAACCUCCUUCGUGCUAGGGAUUGGGGUUUGCAAUUAUCCCCCAUGAACGAGGAAUUCCCAGUAAGCGCGAGUCAUCAGCUCGCGUUGAUUACGUCCCUGCCCUUUGUACACACCGCCCGUCGCUACUACCGAUUGGAUGGUUUAGUGAGACCCUCGGAUCGGUCCCGACUCGGGGUGGGCUUCUGCCCCGGUCGUGGUUUCGCCGAGAAGACGGUCAAACUUGACUAUCUAGAGGAGGUAAAAGUCGUAACA
rnacentral:rRNA from 1 species